rnacentral:lncRNA from 1 species
AUUUAGGUGGUGUUCAUGUUGCACAUUAUUAGCAUUCGUGUCAGUCAAUGGAGAAGGAAUGGAUUAAAGCUGUCCAGCUGCAUUGGAGGGAUUCCACACCCUGGAGGGACAUCCAAAGAUGCAGAAGAGCGUACUCCCUGGGGGACCUGGAGGAGACCCUGGAGCCCGCCUUCCUCUAUGACUCAUCCUCUUCGGCCUCAACCGAUGUACCAAAUGUUGGGAAGCCAGGUCACUGUCACAGGCCCCGAGGAGGAGGACCAAGGACACCAGGUCCCAGCCUUGACAGAAAACCCUGAGCCCAUGGAGGAACAGGCCGAAGGUGAGGAGGACUGAGGUGGGGUAUGAGUAUGUCAGAAUGGGACAGGGAGGGACAAGCAGAGCAUACUGCACAGGAACUGGGGCGGGGCAGGAACAAUGAAAGGCAGAGCUGUCACUGCACGCAUUCUGGGAACCCUGCCUGGUGUUGGGUUUGUGCGUGGAAUUGUAUGAAAGGCAGUAGGGAAUAUUCUGUUCCUGGACCUAACAUGGAUAGUCUGUGGACCUUUACUCCUCUAGCAGCUCUGGUGCUUGUGGAAGCUCCAGUUCAAAGUCCACCACCUCCACCAUCUGAUAAGAGAACCGGAGCUGGAUGAACCUGCAGUGGACCAUCAAGGCCAACACACCCUGCUGGCCCUUCAGUCAGCACUGCAUCCUGAGAGGAACCCUGAGC